AGACGGAAUUUUUCGGAAAACACUUUUCGUGACAGUUAUUAACUGUCAUAGAAUGUUAGGGUUAAAAUUUUUUUCUUUUUUCCUUUUCUUUUCUUUUUCCUUUUUCUUUCUUUUCCCUAUUUCCUUCUUCCUCCCCGUGCGUCCUUCCCCUUCUCCCCAGCCGCAACCGCCGCGCCUCUUCUCCUUCCUCCCGUACGCCGCGACGACUCCACCGUCUCCUUCUCCUUUCCUUCUCUUUUCUCUUUUCCUUCCGCCGUUCCCUUCCGUCUUUCUUUCCGCCGCAGCCCAGCCGCCCCAUCCUUCCCCUUCUCUCCGUUCGCGAAGCAAAACCGCCACCGCUCCGCCGGAAAUCAAGGCCAAAGGAGAUGUCAUGGCUAUGGGCUGAAGCUUUGAGAAAAAAAGAAUGAAAAAUGAAAUGAAAUCAAGGCCAAAGGAGAUGUCAUGGCUAUGGGCUGAAGCUUUGAGAAAAAAAGAAUGAAAAAUGAAAUGAUAACAAGGUGGAGUCGAGGUCCAGCAAGGGUGCAACACUGAAUGAGCUGGUUGAGCUCAAAGGUUGUUCUUCCAGCCUAUUUUUCGAGUGCAGAAAACAUAAAGAUCUUUAUCUAUGUAUGGCAAAGUGCCCUAGUGGGCCAUCUGUGAAGUUUUUAGUUAAUGCCAUUUGUUUUCUCUAUUGUUGAUGACCAUAUCUGGUUCUGAAAUUACCAGGUUCAACUGGAGUCGACAACUUCAUGAGUUUUCUUUCAAAGAACAUUUCCAGAGACGAACAUUCUCGGUUGGUCAUUUAUGCUAAAAUCUUGUUAGAUGUAUUCUAAUGCUAUUUAAAAUAUUUUUUGAUUAAGGGCUAGUAUUUCGUACAUGUGGAUUAUUGAAACUUGUAUUAAGAUGUACAAAUAUUAUAAAUCGUAUUAUAGUGUAUAUAUAUUAAAGUGUUGGCUAUUUUUUUGUA